UACGGGAGGCAGCAGUGGGGAAUAUUGCACAAUGGGCGCAAGCCUGAUGCAGCCAUGCCGCGUGUAUGAAGAAGGCCUUCGGGUUGUAAAGUACUUUCAGUCGUGAGGAAGGUGUUAAGGUUAAUAACCUUAGCAAUUGACGUUAGCGACAGAAGAAGCACCGGCUAACUCCGUGCCAGCAGCCGCGGUAAUACGGAGGGUGCGAGCGUUAAUCGGAAUUACUGGGCGUAAAGGGCACGCAGGCGGUUAAUUAAGUUGGAUGUGAAAUCCCCGGGCUUAACCUGGGAAUGGCAUUCAAGACUGGUUAGCUAGAGUCUUGUAGAGGGGGUAGAAUUCCAUGUGUAGCGGUGAAAUGCGUAGAGAUGUGGAGGAAUACCGGUGGCGAAGGCGGCCCCUGGGACAAAGGCCGACGCUCAUGUGCGAAAGCGUGGGGAGCAAACAGGGAUUAGAUACC
rnacentral:rRNA from 1 species